rnacentral:rRNA from 1 species
CCUACGGGAGGCAGCAGUGGGGAAUAUUGCACAAUGGAGGAAACUCUGAUGCAGCAACGCCGCGUGAGUGAUGAAGGUCUUCGGAUCGUAAAACUCUGUCUUAUGGGACGAUAAUGACGGUACCAUAGGAGGAAGCCACGGCUAACUACGUGCCAGCAGCCGCGGUAAU